ensembl:lncRNA
AAAUCACCGCGUCCUUUUAUUCGACCCCAGAGGCCUGAGCGUUCGAGGUCGCGGUUCCUUGGCAGUGCGCCUCCGGGAUCGCGGGGAUCAAUAAUACCCCCGAAUGCUGUACCCAAGCAGGACCUCCUGGUGCUUCCGGGGGGCUCGAGAAGGACCAGGCUUCGGAGUCGCCAAGCUGACAAAGAUGGACAAGGUGGAGAGAGAAUUCCCAGGUAAUGGGAUUGUAAACAGAUGCAGGUCUGAGCAAUAGCCUGGUGACUUUGCUAAAGUGUAUAGCAACAGCAGAUUCCAGGAAGAACAGCAGCUGUUAUGGAUCUAUGAUGAUGAAAGCCACACAACAAAGACAACUGAACAAAGAAGACAGCGGAAGCUUGGGAACUUCAUGACAUUCUUGAACAGUGGUGCCAGCACUGAAUGAAUGCCCUUAGGACCUCUUAUUAAAUGACAUAUACUAAUUCCUUUCUGUUUAACCACCUGAAGUAGAGUUUUCUGUUACAGUGAAUCCAAUCCUAACUGAUGAUACUGGCCAAUAUGUAUCAGCACCUGUUGUGGGCCAGUGCAUUUCUAAGCGCUUUCAUAUGCUCACUUGUUUAAUCCUCACAAUGACUUUAUGAGAUAGGCCAAAGGUUCUCAAAAUGUGGUCCCCAAGCCAGCAGCAUCAGCAUCACCCGGAAUGUGCAUAACACAGUAUCACAGUUUAACAGAUUAAAGCAAUGCCCAUUUACAUAAUCAGAGUUCUAUAGGUAAGAAAUCUGGACACAGCAUAGCUGGGUUCUCCACUCAGGAUCUAACAAGGCUAAAAUCAUACACAGGGCUAUGUUCCAAGCUCUCAAGGUUAUGGUGGAAUCCUUGUUUUCUUGCUGACUGUCAGCUGGAUGCUCUCAGCUCCCACAAGCCACCAGAUUCUGUUGACACCCCCUUCUCCAUCUUCAAAGCCAACAACAGAUUCUCCUUCACUUCAAAUCCCUCAAUUCCCCUCAUGCUGACAAUCUCUGGCUCCAGGAAGAACCUUCAAAGGAAGGGCUCACCUAAUUAGAUCAGGUUCACUCCAGAUAAUGUUCCUUUCUUAAAGUCAACUGUGCUAUGUAGCACACCCUAGUCAUACUCACAGUCCAAGAAAUUGUGCAGGGUUUGUACCCGGGGGUGGGGGGGCAUCUUGGGGGCCAUAAUAGGAUUCUGCCUACCUCAAGAAACAACAACAGAGGUUGGAGGUGAGUAGAAAUUGUCAGCAUCACCCAUGAUUGGAGGAAUUUAAUAAACUCAGAUAGAAUAGGUUCAGAUCUUUCCUGUGGCAAAGAUGAGAGUGGGACUCUUGCAUUUGAGUCUGUCAUGAAGAAAAGUGACAUAAUUUAACUUCUGUAGGGAGGGAACCCAGACAUUGGUGUCAUCAGCAUUAUACGCUAGACAACUUUGCUAACCGGCCACUAAGAGACUGCUGUGGUGUCUUUUUAGAAAGUUUUAGUGUAAAUAACUCUCUGGAGUCUCAUUUAAGAAAGAAAACAAACGCUCCACUCAUCAUUUCUUACCCCUUCCAAGGGAAAGAAACAAGGAAAAGAAAAUCCACUUUUGGUAGGGAUGAAUCUUGCCUCUCCAAUGGAAACUUAGUCUUUCUCAAACCAGCUUAUUCAGAUAAAUGUUCUCAGGAGGAGCGUCCUUCUUCCCAGGACAGCCAGGAGCAAACACUAAGUUGGUGGCUCAGACUUGAAGCCCAAGGCAGCUCAUGAAAAUGACCCAACCAGCUGUUAGGAUUUGAGAACUUCUGAAUGUGAAAUCUGGAUGUUUGACCUCAAAACAAACAAUUUAAAUAUAAGAACAAUUUUUAUUUGAAUUCUAGGUUUACGUUAAAGACUGCUGUUAAGAAAGAGUGAGUUGCUUCUAAGGGGAAAGGGAACUAGCCUGCAUAGUGGCAAAGAAAGCUUCUUAAUUUGCCAGACCUUCUUAGUGUAUAAUCUUUUCAUUCUUACAACUGCCUUCCAUGAAGUAGGGAUUAUUAUCCCCAUUUAGCAAAGGAAGAAAUCAAGGCUCAGAGAGUUGGUGGGAAAGACAGAAUUCGAAUGCAUGAUUGUUGAGUUUCAAAGUCCAUGCUCUUUCAAAUCAUCUUCAAGAUGCCAGGCCCUCUGAAUUGUAGAAAGAACAGAAUUUAAUAUGCUGGCAUUUCAAUCCAUGGAGAGAGUAUGGAUAUUCAAUAAUGGUAUUGGGAUUACUGGUAAUCUUCUGGAAAUAAAAGUGGAGUUGAAUCUAUACCUUACAUAGUAAUGUAAGACACAGAAAAAAAAAAUCAAAUAUAUCAACAAUCUAAAUAUUUAAAAAAAUGGACACUCCGUAAGAAAUCACUGAAUUCCUUUGUUACUCUUGUUUCUAUUAUAGUGGGAAAAGGCAUAUCCAAGUUAGAUGUAAAACCUCAAGAAAAGACUGAUAAUUUCACCUGCCUAGGUCAAAGUCUGUAUAUCUGAAAUUCCCAUGAAGUUCAAAGGCAAAUAAACUGGACUGCUUGUGACAUAGC